rnacentral:rRNA from 1 species
UACGGAGGGUGCGAGCGUUGUCCGGAAUCACUGGGCGUAAAGGGCGCGUAGGCGGUCUGCUAAGCGUGUGGUGAAAGCUCGGGGCUCAACCCCGAGUCUGCCAUGCGAACUGGUGGACUGGAGCACUGUAGAGGCAGGUGGAAUUCCGGGUGUAGCGGUGGAAUGCGUAGAUAUCUGGAGGAACACCGGUGGCGAAGGCGACAUCCUGGACCGGUAUUGACGCUGAGGCGCGAAAGCCAGGGGAGCAAACGGG